UGGGUUUGACAUGCACGUGGUCGGUUGGCUUUCACCGCCCUACCACGUGCAUGUCAAACCCAGGUAAGGUUCUUCGCGUUGCAUCGAAUUAAACCACACGCUCCGCUGCUUGUGCGGGCCCCCGUCAAUUCCUUUGAGUUUUAGCCUUGCGGCCGUACUCCCCAGGCGGUGUGCUUAUCGUGUUAACUAAGGCGCGCACCCAAUUAAGAGCACA
rnacentral:misc_RNA from 1 species